AUCCCAGGUAGAUUGGGCUGUACUGUCUCCUAUCCCAUCAAACUCUGGGCUGCAGCAGCUGAGUGCCUAGUAUGUCCCUUUCCCUUCAAGGACAUACCUCCUUGGAAUGUACACAUAUGUAUAUAUCCCUGGAUAUAUAUCCCUGGUAUGUCCCUUCCAUGCAAAGGGGCCCAGCACCAAGAGCAGGGCCCUGUGCCCUGAAGUGCUCCAGCUUCCUGCAGUGACUUGUGCUGUCAUCAGGCUGAGGGGCAGUUGGGACAUUAACCUCACACUCCUCCCACUCCGACAUCUUCCUUGUAAACAUCCCGUCCCGCUCAAGUCCUGUGUUAUCACAUCCUCUCUGCUCUGCCCAGACACUAUUCUGGGUUUAGCUCUAUAUGCAGAGCACACAGCUGGGCAUGCCAAAAUCCAGACAGGCAGCAGGACAGAACAGUAACUUGGUUGAGCUGCUGACAUAUCACAAGUACUGCGUAAGAGUGGAGUUGUUGAAGGGUCUUCUUAAAACUAAAAUCAUCUGCUUGAGCCCUCCUUGGAAAGCCAGUUUGCUUCCUUAGAUGUGUUCAGCAGCUCUACCUCACUCCACGCAGAUGCAAACCUGUGCAUGUGCAUGAAAAACCUUGGUAAUGAUGGAAGGGAGCAGAACAGAGAGCUUGGAAGCUGCAGCACAGUAAGUUUACACAAGCAGCAAGUAAAACACCCAUUCCCGGUGAGUCAGUCCUGGCCGUUUCCUUCAUUUCCUCCAAGGCUCGCUGUAAACAUCCAGCGGUAGCGGCCCUUCUGAAAUCCAGUCGUCUCCCUUCCUGCUCCUUGUUUACAGCUUUCCUUCAGCAGGGAGCAGAGUUCCAGCCUCCUGCACUGCAUUUCACUGCAGCAGGCUGAUGAGAGAAGUGCAGACCCUCCCCUGGUCUCGGCUCAGUUUUGGUACCACAGUGCUCUUGUUGCUUUUGUGGGUACCAGCACCUUCUUGAGCUACAGCAGGUGCUAAGAGAGGAAAAAGCAUCACAGUUGCACAAUAUGUUUUUUUUUUAAAUCUUGAAAGCAGCCAUAUCAUUGACAGAGGCUCUUUAUCCCUACCUACAAAGCCAUACCUUUGGAUUCAGUCUGUUAGGAUGCAGUGGGGUAUUUUGUUGUUUUAAGUGUGCAAACCAUGCCUCAGAGAUACGAGUUGGAGCUUCCCUGCUUCAGACUGAGGUGUAUCUCAUGCUCUGAUUUCCCCACAUGACAGCCGCUAGGGAAGAGGACUAUUUUAGGUUUUUUUUCUUGGUAUGUUUACAGGAAGUUCUUUGUUUGUGGGAGUAAGCUUGGGUGCCUUAGUCUGAGAAUCCACUUCAGUGCCAGUUGUGGAUGCAGUUACAAGGGUGAACUCCUGCUGUUGUCUGGGAGAGGCAUCAUUUAUUGCAGGUGUUCAAGAAACUAUGGGCUUCACCCAGACAAAUACUGAUUUCCACGAUCUUUCCUGAAAUUUGUUAAAGGAGAUGUCCAGGUGGCUGUGACAGAAGAGUUUAGGAAAAUACAGAACCAGGAAAUUCCUGCAGCUAAAUCCUUGUGCAAAUCUGAAGCAGAAUCUUCAUGCUGCAGUAAAUGGUUGCCCAGCCCAUGCUACCUUUCAAAUCCACAUGCAGAUUCAGUGACCUGAUAACAGGUAUUUUAUCCUACUGCCUGGACAGGACACUGCUUAAAAUGCCAAAGAGCAUGGACAAGGCAGUUUCUCCCUGCUGAUCCUCCCAUGGGGCUUCCAGUAAGAGCUUUCUGCUGCACCUGGUCACUGAUCCGUGGCUACAGGAGCAUUGAUCCCUGGUUAAUCUUCACUCGGGACAAGGAUGGGCUAAUAAUAUAUCUUCCUGUGAGAACUGUGGUUUCAAAAAAUCAGCCGUUUCACUCCUGUGAUUUUGCAGUUGGUCUUCUGGCAGGGAUGUGUGGAAUAGAAACAGUGAAGUUGUAACACCAGAGAAGCCCAGAGGGGAAAAAGGUACUGAUGACAAAUUCCCCUGAAAGCUCAGACAUUAUUCCUUGGGAAAAGUGAGUGUCAGGAGCCUGGUUAUGGAGCCAUGGGGCCAUUUAUGGACAGCCUUUGCUGGAGGAAUGCUCCUGCUAGGAGGUGACUGACGAGCACUGAUGGCAGAGGUGGUGAAUCCAGAGACUCAGAGCCUGAGGAGUUUCAGGAUCUUCUCAGGUUACAUUUCUAGAGGAAGAAACUCACUUUCUCUCUACAUGCAUUCGUGGCUCUGGUCACAAGGAGGUGGAGGAUGCAGGUGAAACCCACAAUGGCAGCUGCAUCCCAAAUUAACCAAAGGAAAGCAAGUACCUGAAGCUUAGGACAGGAUGUGGCUGCCCUGAGGUAAAUCCUGAGUGCUUUCACAGCAACCCCAUCCUCAGGACGGCCCUGACAGGUAACAUCAAGGCUGACCAUGCCAGGGAACUCGGAUUCAAGAAUCCCAACCAAGUACCAUCAUGUUUUGCCAUGUUCUUUCACCUCUCUAAGAAUAUGAGGAGUUGUGUUCAUUGAUCUUAAUUCUUCCUUCUCUAGACACAGGAAAAAUGUUCUGUUUCAGCCCCUUGCUCCCUGCAUUCCCAUUGCUGCUUCUCUUCUCCCAGAAAUUCUAAAAAUACCUUUUCAGUAAAGCAUUUUGUAGUUCCUGUUUCAUCCUACAUUCACAUAAAAGCUUGAUCAUGUCCAAAGAAUUAGGAAGAUGCCUGAAAUCCCUCUUAUGUGUUCUAUAUGUAAACUCUGUUUUUCCUGUUUUGCUUGGUAUUUCUGCCUGAAGGCAUCAGGAGAAAUCCAGAGGUCAUCUGUUAAAGAAGCCAGGCAAGAAAAGAAAGCAAUUGACCAGCAAAGAGGCACCUUCUUAAGUAAAACAGCCAGAGCUGUGGGAAGAAACUUCCCAGUCCCUGUACUGGAAAGGAACUGCUAAGGCUAGGAAAAGGGAAAUGGAAGGACACGCAAACACCUGUUAAAAGCUCUGCCAUCUGUAAAAGCAGGGACAUAUUCUGCAUGCUUGGAGGUGCUCUGGGGUAAGAAAGGCAAGGCUGCCCUUUCAUGAGGGGAAACACUGACAAGACAGGGACUGACAUAGAGAAGUCUCCUCUGUGGUUCUGUGCUUGAGGAUGGGAAAGCACAAACACCUCAACCACAGUCAGGCAGAGUUCAGCUGUGUUGUGGGGAAGGUCAGCUGGAGGGAGAGACAGCAGAAAAUGGCCCAAGGCAACAAAUGAGCAGCAAUGACAACUGCAAGAGCUCCGGAAAGCAAAAAGAAGCAAAUCCAGAGAUGGGGGCUCCAGCUGAUGUGUCUCUGGCUAUUCAGACCAGUGUUGCUGAGAUGAAAAAGAAACAGAGUCUGAAAGAAAAGUCUCCUGUGCAUGCAGAGACACUUUUGUUCAAUACAUCUCAAAAAAUAUUUUAGAGAAUAGACAUAAAAUACUUCUAAAAAUGUACUGAACACACAAAACACAUCUCUUGUCCAAGAUCAAAAGAAAUAUGUUUUUCCAGUCACAAUAAAGC